rnacentral:rRNA from 1 species
GUGGGGAAUAUUGGACAAUGGGCGAAAGCCUGAUCCAGCCAUGCCGCGUGUGUGAAGAAGGUCUUCGGAUUGUAAAGCACUUUAAGUUGGGAGGAAGGGCAGUAAGUUAAUACCUUGCUGUUUUGACGUUACCAACAGAAUAAGCACCGGCUAACUUCGUGCCAGCAGCCGCGGUAAUACGAAGGGUGCAAGCGUUAAUCGGAAUUACUGGGCGUAAAGCGCGCGUAGGUGGUUCAGCAAGUUGAAGGUGAAAUCCCCGGGCUCAACCUGGGAACUGCCUCCAAAACUACUGAGCUAGAGUACGGUAGAGGGUAGUGGAAUUUCCGGUGUAGCGGUGAAAUGCGUAGAUAUAGGAAGGAACACCAGUGGCGAAGGCGACUACCUGGACUGAUACUGACACUGAGGUGCGAAAGCGUGGGGAGCAAACAGGAUUAGAUACCCGCGUAGUCC